AAGGUUAUUGUGAAGAGUCAAUAAGUGAGCAUUUAAAGAUGAAGUACAUAAAUACAUCUAUAUAUCUGUGAGACUGCUGUUGUCUCACUUAGUCAUCUUUAUUUAUGUAUGUAUUUAUUUUUGAAACUGUGGAGCAUGGCUUGAUGAGCAGCUCACAGAGGCUGGAUUUCUCCCUCAGCUGGACACCUUUGUGCAGUGCCCAGCCUGCACAACUGGGCUUGGCAGCCCUUUAUAGGAUGUCACCUAUAUUAAAUAGCAGGUGGUUGCUCUCCAAAGAAAUCUUGCUCUCUCAUUUUCAAGCCUGACGAGCUUUUCUAGAUCUCUCAUAUCUAUAGGUGCUCACCCAAGUCUACUGUUUGACCGACCACCGUGGCCCGAGCCUGAGUUUCCAGCUGGGAGUUGGAAUAGACUCUUGAGCAUCCCUCGAGAGGCAGGGUGCAACACAUCACCACAAGGCCUGGUGCCUCCUGAAGAGCGGUCUCCCUGCUAGUGUCCAAACUUUGUAAGAGUUCCCCCUCUUUAUCCCAUUAAAAAUAAACACCGUUUUCUUCACUCA
rnacentral:lncRNA from 10 species